rfam:Danio rerio chromosome 4, GRCz11 reference primary assembly.
GCAUUGGUGGUUUAGUGGUAGAAUUCCCGCCUCCCACACAGGAGACUUGGGUCUGAUUCCCAGCCAACACA